GCGACCGACUAGACUAGACCGCAGCGAAAAGUUCGCGAAGGACAUCACCAGACAUUCCGGUCGUUUUCAUCCUCCUAAACUUGGAAGAAGUAGGUGGUUUUAUUCUACAGAACGCUUGGAUAUCGGGCUGGACGCAAAGAAUUUGAGGAGUUGAAGCAAAGCGGAAUACGCGUACAUUCCAGCACCAGCAAAGCUGCGCGGCGAGUUGGAAAACAAGUUCAAAAGUGCUGCUGGGCAAUAAUUUCGAUCAGCUGACCCAACGUUCCAAGGAGAACCUUAAAGAGUUGGAGUCUCUGAAGAAUUUGUUUCAGUUCAUCCCCAGCAUGAAAUUAGCCAAUGUUGUGUUCCGACGAAAAUUGAAAGUUGAGAAGGCCAACCUGGAGAAGUUCAUCAAGAAUCAGACCAGACAACAAAGUUCAGAUCUGAACAGUAUUCCAAAGAAGAAGUUGAAGCGAGUUGAUCUCCCAGAAAAGUUGAGAAGAACCUUGCGCAGUGGAAAAAAACCUGCCUUCCAUUAUUUCUGGUACUGUGACCGAUAAGAAAGCAUUGGAGGCCCUGGAACAUGCUAAAUUCUGCCUUGAAAAUAUGGAAGAUGGCACUGAAGAAUUGGCUCCGAGUUGCAAGGGCAUUGUGAAAACUCUGGCCAGAUAUGUCACAUCAGAAGACGGUGAUGCCUUUGAACCGUUCCUCUUCGAGUCUCCACAUCAAGCCGGCCACGGGGGACAGCAGUCGCAGGGUUCCAUUCGAACUGAGUUGCCAAAAUACCUGGACCUUCUUGAAUAACAUAGCGGGAAACUGCAUGGACAACCAGCCAGGACGCCUUUGUGAAUGCUGCGCAGGUGGUCCUCGUCAAGGAUGCCUUUAAGCUUGGAUUCUACGGCAGAAAACUGGUUAGGGUGAAUUGAAACAAAUCUAACUUUUUUUAACAGCCGGUGGAAAAAUGUUGGUGCCGGUAUGCUUGUUCCGGAAGCUUGCAAAACGUGCCAUCCCCAGGAUAGAGCGGCGUCCAGCAGGUGUAGUUCAGUGAGGUCGGCAGGGAACUUGUCUAAGCUGAGCACUGCCUCCACACUCUGGACGUGGGAGAGCCUCCACGCUGCUGACUCGAAGACGGACACCGGAUCCUCCGCCACCUUCUUGAGAAGCCGGUGAGACAGGUAUGGGUACAGGUCCUUUUUGCGAGUUUGCUCCAGGAGGUCGUACAAAAAGAAGGCGUCGAGAGCGCUGUCACACAAGACGUCCUGCUGCACCUCCUGGCACAAGCAAUCUGCUUGCCACAGCAGACCGUACCUAAAAAUGACAGAUUUGAGAGAAGAAUCAACUUGAGGCAACUUAUUCGAGUGGAGUAGGCUGAGGGCCGCAUUCAUGGCGUCGACGUCCGGACGACAGAGGGCCUGCAGCUCGAGGAACGAGUCCUGACAGAAGGAAGCGGCCAGUCCUGGGCUGUUGGACUUCAAAGCCUCGCUGUGCACCUUGAAGAUGGCGGCUAGCGGUCCGUCAAGAAGCCGAACGAAGAUCGUGGCGUUGGGCUUGUCUUCUCGUUUACCAACAUUGAGAGCUUGACUUUCCUCGGCUUCCCGACUUACGUUAUGUUCCGCUUUAUCUACACCUUCGGAGCUAAACUAAACGCAUUGAACAUCCAACACGAUGACCGCAUGAUUGAACCGUUCCUGAAUUUAAAUCGGCUAUGUCCACUGCUUGCGCUUUGCUUGAGAGACUACGAUUGUGGCUAGUCGUCAGCGACCCAGAGCCAAUCACUUUUUACGCUCGUCUCAGCGUGUGGAAUUGGAUUUCACGUUCAGGGUAGCCAGAAGUAGUGUUAGAGUGGAGUUUCCAGUGGUGCGCCGGUUGCCUUGCAUCAACGAAACCAAUCUAAUGGAAACGCCAGAGUCCCUCAUCACCACUUUCCUCAUCAGCCAAACUUAUGCCUCCGCCAGAUCUUCAGUCAGAAGAUGUAUCCUUCCGUCACGAGAAAUUUCGCCUCCCCCUUGGCCAAACCCAACAUGUUUGGAGAACCUGCUGAGCAGUCUGAAGUUGCUUCCAUGAAAGAUAGAGAGCUGAAGCCUACGCUCUUUUUGAAGGAACAUCGAGAGAGGAAGAGGUGAAUUUUGAGGCCAAGCUUGCAGCCAAAGAAAUUAAGUUCACAAUUGUGAAGAAAAGAGUGCCCUCCGGUAUAACAAUAAGAAGAAGACUGUUAGCAGGAACCCAACAAGAACCAAUACUGGAUUCACGCGACCUGCCAUCCUUAAAGAACUGAAGAAAGAUCAGUAUAGGUGCAUAAACGCCUGCCCGAAAAGCUGGAAAAAUGCUUUAAGAGUGGUCUUUUUAGAGUUAGGAAUGACUUUCUCGGGACUCUCUCGAUGAACAUCAACAUUGUGUCGAGAAAGAAGAAGGUGAAUGAAGCAAACGUAAGGAAGGUCAUGAGGGCCUGCCAUACAGCAGGCGUGGCCAAGAAUUUUAACAAGUUUGCCAGGUUAAUUUGUACGUGAGUACCUCCGUACCUAGGAUUAUUUUUUAUUUGUCAAUAAAUUUUGUUACUUUAUCAAUGUCA